GACAGAGGGUGCAAACGUUGCUCGGAAUUACUGGGCGUAAAGGGCGUGUAGGCGGGAAGGCAAGUCGGGCGUGAAAGCCCCAGGCUCAACCUGGGAACUGCACUCGAAACUGCCUUUCUUGAGUGCCGGAGAGGAAAGCCGGAAUUCCUGGUGUAGAGGUGAAAUUCGUAGAUAAUCAGGAGGAACACCAGUGGCGAAGGCGG
rnacentral:rRNA from 1 species